UCAGUUGGCCGGGCAGCCGCGCUUUACCAAUGCCGAAAGGCGGUAGGGUGAGGAAAGUCCGGGCUCCAUGGAAACACGGUGCCGGAUAACGUCCGGCGAGGGUGACCUCAGGGAAAGUGCCACAGAAAGCAAACCGCCGACGCCUGGCGUCGGUAAGGGUGAAAGGGUGGGGUAAGAGCCCACCGCAUUUCCGGUAACGGCGAUGGCAAGGUAAACCCCACCGGGAGCAAGACCGAAUAGGGAUGACGCGGUAAGCGAAAGUUUGCCGGCCGGUUUCUAGGCCAGUCAUCCGGGUGGGUUGCGUGAGGCGGCGUGUAAACGUCGUCCCAGAGGAAUGGCUGCCACGUUCCGGUUUCGGCCGGAGCCAUACAGAACCCGGCUUACAGGCCAACUGGCGAU
rnacentral:RNase_P_RNA from 2 species